rnacentral:rRNA from 1 species
AAAAGAUUUAUCGGCAUACGAUGGAUCCGCGUCCGAUUAGCCAGUUGGCGGGGUAACGGCCCACCAAAGCGACGAUCGGUAGCCGGCCUGAGAGGGCGGACGGCCACAUUGGGACUGAGACACGGCCCAAACUCCUACGGGAGGCAGCAGUGGGGAAUAUUGCACAAUGGGGGAAACCCUGAUGCAGCGACGCCGCGUGAGUGAAGAAGUAUCUCGGUAUGUAAAGCUCUAUCAGCAGGGAAGAAAAUGACGGUACCUGACUAAGAAGCCCCGGCUAACUACGUGCCAGCAGCCGCGGUAAUACGUAGGGGGCAAGCGUUAUCCGGAUUUACUGGGUGUAAAGGGAGCGUAGACGGCGCUGCAAGUCCGGAGUGAAAGCCCAUGGCUUAACCAUGGUACUGCUCUGGAAACUGUGGAGCUUGAGUGCGGGAGGGGCAGGCGGAAUUCCUAGUGUAGCGGUGAAAUGCGUAGAUAUUAGGAGGAACACCGGCGGCGAAGGCGGCCUGCUGGACCGUAACUGACGUUGAGGCUCGAAAGCGUGGGGAGCAAACAGGAUUAGAUACCCUGGUAGUCCACGCCGUAAACGAUGAUUACCAGGUGUCGCGGUACGAAGUACUGCG